GACGAACGCUGGCGGCGUGCUUAACACAUGCAAGUCGAACGGUGAUCCACUUUCGGGUGGUGAUCAGUGGCGAACGGGUGAGUAACACGUGAGCAACCUGCCCCUGGCUCUGGGACAACCACUGGAAACGGUGGCUAAUACCGGAUACGACCCGCCAUCGCAUGGUGUGUGGGUGGAAAGUUUUUCGGCUGGGGAUGGGCUCGCGGCCUAUCAGCUUGUUGGUGGGGUGAUGGCCUACCAAGGCGACGACGGGUAGCCGGCCUGAGAGGGCGGCCGGCCGAACUGGGACUGAGACACGGCCCAGACUGCUACGGGAGGCAGCAGUGGGGAAUAUUGCACAAUGGGCGAAAGCCUGAUGCAGCGACGCCGCGUGAGGGAUGACGGCCUUCGGGUUGUAAACCUCUUUCAGCUCCGAAGAAGCGCAGGUGACGGUAGGAGCAGAAGAAGCACCGGCUAACUACGUGCCAGCAGCCGCCGUAACAC
rnacentral:rRNA from 1 species